rnacentral:lncRNA from 1 species
UGAAAAAUAGGUGGGAAAUUUCAAAUAAACUCAUUUGAAAUUCCCACCAAAAACAAGUCACAUGGGAGGUGUGACCUUUUUCUACUAUGACACCUCCCAAAAACUACACCUACACCACUCUCCUAAGUCACAUGGGUAAUGUGACUUUAUUUUACAUUUUCACACUCCUUUAUUUAAUAACCACACCUCCUAAAAACUAUACAAGAGUAUUUCAAAACUUGGCCUUGCCCCUCAUGGGAUGGACUUGGGCUCUUUGGGCUUUGGCCUUCUUGGGCUUGGGCUUGGGCUUUGGGCUUGGGCCUCAUCUUUAUUUUAUGUCUUCUUUUAAUUUUGAGAAGACUAGAAGGAAGAACUUCAAAUGUGAGGGUGGAUGUCCUCUUCCUCCAUUAAUAAAAGCCUCCUUUAUUUGAUUCUCAUCAC